rnacentral:rRNA from 1 species
GAGUUUGAUCAUGGCUCAGGACGAACGCUGGCGGCGUGCCUAACACAUGCAAGUCGAGCGAGGAGGCCCCUUCGGGGGUGGAAUAGCGGCGGACGGGUGAGUAACACGUGGGUAACCUGCCUCAAAGAGGGGGAUAGCCUCCCGAAAGGGAGAUUAAUACCGCAUAGAAGGUAAAAAUCGCAUGAUAAAUGCCUUAAAGGAGCAAUCCGCUUUGAGAUGGGCCCGCGUCGCAUUAGCUAGUUGGAGGGAUAAAAGCCCCCCAAGGCGACGAUGCGUAGCCGACCUGAGAGGGUGAACGGCCACAUUGGAACUGAGAUACGGUCCAGACUCCUACGGGAGGCAGCAGUGGGGAAUAUUGCACAAUGGGGGAAACCCUGAUGCAGCAACGCCGCGUGAGUGAAGAAGGUUUUCGGAUCGUAAAGCUCUGUCAUA